rnacentral:tRNA from 1 species
AAGUAAGAAGCAAAAAUUGCAAUCAGUUUCGACCUGAUCUUAGAUAAUCAAGCUUAUCCUUACUUU